GUGUGUGUGUGUGUGGACAGUGUGUGUGAGACACCUCCCCCUCUCCCAAGCCUCUCAUAUGUGAUGAUAAAUGAUGUCAGAAAUAUGAUGUCAUUAACGAGGGACUAGGAUUUGUCCCUACCCAGUUCUACCCUAUCCAAUCCUACCCUGCCCUAAACUACCUUGUUCAGUCCUAGCCCAACUUAGUUCUGUCUUACCUGGUCCGUGCAGGGUAUUGAAGCCAGGUGCGUCGCUGCCAGAUCUGCUUCCCUCUAGAAGGCCACAGUGCGUGUCAGAAUGUUAGGCCAUCGGCCAGCAAGCCAGUACGUUAGUGUAAGUCAGUGUGUCUCUUCACCCGAACCAGACCCCAACACAGACACCCCGAAGGAGCUGUAGACACAGUCUAAUCUUUCUUUAUGUGUGUAUGUGUGUCUGUGUGUAGCAGGUCGCCCCAAAGGCUGAUGGGAGUUGUAGUCCGAAGGUUGAGAGGUCUGUUAGACUAGCUCCAGAGCUCCCUGCCUACAUGGGGGGGAUAUAUUUUGGAAUAAUAAAAAAAAAAAAAACUAUUGAUAAAUAUGUAUUGAAUUAUAUUAUAUGAAUAAAUGCACUUAGAGAUUAAGUGAGAAGGCUAUUAUUCUGCUAAGGAACCGUUACAGGGAAAAUAAAAAGCCUCUGAGUCAGAGUUGGAGGCUGAUUAUACAUAUAAGAGACUUUAUAUAACUUAUAGACUUUAUAUAACGUAUGUAGCAGCGGUUGUUUGAUACAACACGUACGUGAAAAACUCAAAUAUGGUCACUGGAUCUGAGGGGCCUGUUCUUUGGUACAGUGGUACCUUUGUGGUUCCCUGUUGGGGAAGGUUCGUGGUUCAAAUCCCCACCUCACCCUUCUGUGACCUGUACGACUGGCCAGUGUCAGACUACAGCCAACAGGUUUCUUAACAUUCCUCCACUUAAAGAGCAUAUGAAUCUAGUUUGUUCAGUUCAAGAAAACGGCAAUCACGUGUGUACUGGUACAGCGUGUGUGUGUGUGCGCGUGUGUGUGCGCGUGUGUGUGCGCGUGUGUGUGCGCGUGUGUGUGCGCGUCUGUGCUGUAGCAUCCUUGCUCCGGCUCCUGAUCGGUUGUACAAGACUGGCUUAAUGAUGGUAAAUAGAGGCUGACCAUGUGACUUGUCAGUAGAGGCUGCCUAUAUGAUUGGUCAGUAGAGGCUGAGCAUGUGGGGGGAGUUUCUGAUUGGUCGACUCUGUCCCUUCUAAUGAUGUCACACACUAGAUUGUUACUCUUGUUGGUGCCACAGUGUCUGUUGUCUCCUGAAGUCCAGUUAGCCUGCACGUUGUGGAUAUACAGUUAUAUCUUCUAUAGACAUUGAACAUUGUAAAUUCGUACUCACACAAACAUUGGUUUAACGUGUCUGUCUUCUCUAUCUAUAAACAUACACCCACUUCUCUUAAGUUCUUGUUAUUUUGCCAAGUGUUCGCUAGUGUUUCAGAUGAAUAGCAGAAUUUGCACUCUUAAUAGAAUGUUGAUGGUGUACGACUGUUGCUAGGGAAAAGAGUGUUGUGCUUGUUCUUUGUUUUUAACAAUCGGAAACAACCAUUCUCAGCUGUAGAACUCUCCUCGUCCUCUCUGCGUUCAAUCAUAAUAUUUUGAUGCCAUCGCCCUGACCCCUGACAUUGUUCAUGCCACUGCUUCAGCCACGUGGAUUGACUUCACAUACGUCAGGUUUUCAUCUGUCCUAGCAGAAGUUCUAGUCCCAGGACAGUGUGUGUGUGUGUGUGUGUGUGUGUGAUGGUGUGUGUAUGUGUACUAGUCCUAGGACACUGUUUGUGGGUACUAGUUUGAGGACAGUGUGUGUGGGGGGGAUCUCAUUCCCCCCAGUACGUUUGUACAUGGAGUAUAUGAUGAUUGUAACUAUGAUUGUCAGUAGGGCAUUAAUACUGAAACACAUGGCUUACCUCAAGACUAGAGACAAACCUUCUCUCUAUCCUCCCUUUCACUCUCGUUCAUGUGAGAUGCCCAACCCCCCCCCCCCCCCCCCCCUCACAAAAAAAAACCUUCCCCCCGUCCCCCUCCUCCCCCCUUCCCCCCCAGACAGCAGUCUAGUUCUGGCCCCUCUGACAAACACCCCUCUACCACAGGUCUGACAUGUAGCGUAUAUUCUACACCUGAUGCACUAUCUUAUAGCUAACUAACACACAGGAUGGUACAUACGUUAUAGCUAUAUAAACAUACACAACAAUCCUAUAUAUUGGGCCUCACGUCCAGAUGAACCUAAACUGCAGGGUCAUUUACGUCUGAACAAUCUGUAACUCUGGACACGUGUUAAACGAUGAUAAGCUGGUUUUCUUGUGGCUUUGAUGAUGCUAGUUUAUCUUUGCUGUAUGCGUUUGUGUGUUCGUCAUCAGGAAUAUUACUCUGAAACAUCUUAGACUUUACAAGCACGGACAGUGUAUCGCUAAUCAUACAGAUCGUUUCAAAGAAUAUACUGUGUUGCAAACCGAUAGGAAAUUAAUAUGAAUCUAUAAGCUUUUUGAUAUGUUUGCUGUCUUGACACCUUCUGAAUUACUGUCUCAUUUCCAGAGGUCAGAUCUUAGGGUGAUUUUACCAGUGAGAUCAUAUAGCUAUCGUUAGUUCAGCUCAGCACAGUACCACACUAACAUCAGUUAGAUUCUCCUCUGCCAGGGACACAGAGCCAAUAGAAAACGGGUCAAUGCAGGAUGCUGGUCGCUCCAACAGCGACUGGGUCAACUCUGCUUUCUCAAUAACCAUUUGUCUAUUUUCUUUCUCUCUCCAUCUCUCUCUCUUUCUCUCUCCAUCUCUCUCCAUCCAUAUCUCUCCAUCCAUAUCUCUCUCUCUCCAUCUCUCUCUCUCCAUUUCUCUCUCCAUCUCUUCUCCCUCUCUAAUGUUCUGUUUGAAGGUGUUUUGCCGUCACCCUGGUUGUCCCCAGUCUCACAGAGCAUUUAUGACUGUACCUUGAUUGUAGAAGCCCUAUUUUAUAAAAGAGAGUUAUUUCAGAAUAUAUGUGCUGUUGUACAUUCAUGUAUUGUAUGGAGAAACAUAAAAUAAAUGCCAUUUAAAAUGUU